rnacentral:lncRNA from 13 species
GCAUCUUUCUUUUAAAUUGAGGCUCUACCUUUGUAAUUAAUCAGCUAAUUCAAUUCCAUACUCUUAGUGGUCAUUACACAUUCCAAAGUUCUCUCAAACAAGACCUGUGGCAGAAGAUGGAAUAGAAAAUAUAUCAGCCUAAAAAGAAAAAAAAGUGGAGUUCUGUGGCUUUUUGUAGACAUUGCAUUAGAUAGAGCAAUGCUGGCUUUACAGCCAGCAAGGAAAAGUACAAGCAAUUUAAACAUGCCUCUAACUCAUCCCCUCAGCGUGUUUUGAAGAAUCAGUCAGCCUUCAGAGACUCAUAAGCUCAUCCAAGGUGAGGUCAUUAUGUUGAUAUUGGCGCACAGGGAGCUGAUUUUGUCAGCAUGUAUCAGAGAAAGGGCCUCGGAAGGGCAUGGGGCAGGCUCCAAGCUAACCGUGAGUGGAGAUGGUUUCAGUGGCUCUUAUGUCAUCCCUAACAAGAGAGUUAUUUUUACAGGAGACUGUCACUAGCAAAACAGAAGCUGCCUUUUACUUUAAAGGAAAGAUGCCAGCUUCUAAGCUCAUCAUUUAAUUGCCUUAUACGUAACAGAAGAUGUUGUUAAUGUAGUGAACACGCCAGAACAGGGAUGUGGGAGCCAACUGUUCUCUAUUCCAGUGACAGAAAGUUCAAUGGGAGGUGUGGUCUGAAGCCAACCAGAGGACGCAGGAGAUUGGAGAAGAGCUCUCCUUCCGUUCAGGCCCACGGCAAAGCACGUUGCCUUCUUUCCUUUGCAAAAUAACCACUGGGUACUUCUCAGAAAGAUGCUACGGAGAUGCUUCAGCCUUGGACACCAUGCUCUAAAGCUCUCCGUUACUGGAAAAAAGGAUUUCCACUCAAUUAAAUCAUGAAGCAGAAGAUUAUGCAGUUUGAGUCUCAAGAUAUAAAAGGUUUGAAGAGAUUGCAUAUAGGGCUCCCAGACACUCUGUGCUUCCUGCCACCACAACACUCAUUACAUAGCCCUGAAAUUGCCAGCCAGACUUCCAGUCUAACUCUUAAGCAAGGAAAGUAUCUUAUUCACCAGCAUGCGGUAUGCAGCCCACAUCCAAUGUUUAUUGAAUGACAAAAUAAAGUGUGUGCUUUCUCACUUUUGUAUUGCUAC